GACGGAGGGUGCAAGCGUUGUUCGGAUUGACUGGGCGUAAAGGGCGUGUAGGCGGUUGGUCAAGUCGGUUGUGAAAUCCCUCGGCUUAACCGAGGACGUGCAUUCGAAACUGAUGGCCUUGAGUACGAAAGAGGAUCGCGGAAUUCCCGGUGUAGAGGUGAAAUUCGUAGAUAUCGGGAGGAACACCAGUGGCGAAGGCGGCGAUCUGGGUCGAUACUGACGCUGAGGUGCGAAAGCGUGGGGAGCAAACAGG
rnacentral:rRNA from 1 species